ACAUAUAUAUCCACUAAAAGUUAGUUAUCUCUUAUAUCUCUAUUUUAAAAAAGUAAAACCCUAAAUAUACUAUUCUUUAAUUACUUGAUUUACCUUUAAUUUACUUACUCCAUCGAUCAUUAACAAAUUAUUGCCCAAUGUAAUUUGAAAGCCAAUAAAACAAAAAAAGCUAAAAGCGUCUUCCUCAAACACGCACUACCGAUAGAACAGUACUGCACCACCCGCCUGAAAUUGCGCCAAAAUUCAAUCGCCGGAAACCGUCGCUUUACCUUCCCGGCCAAUUCGUCUGCCAGUGGACUCGGUUUGUCGUCCAAUUACGUCUUCGCCGGUCUCUUAAUUUCGUCUGCCAGUGGAGUCUUGUUCGAUUACCACCACCACGCCCCAGCGACGCCACCACGCCAUAGUGACGUAAUUCGUCCGCCAUUAUCCAGGUAUUAAACUAGUUGAACCCAAUUCAUCUCGCCCUCCAAUUUGUUUUGUUAGGGUAAUUGAAAUGUAUAUUUUUUGAUCGAAAUUCUUGUUUAAUUUGUUUAUAGAUUUUCAUUAUAAAUUAAAUUGUAUCUAGAAUUACAAAUUAUUUACAUAUACAACAUGAAAAGAUUCCAAGAGCUGUGAUGAUAAUUAAUCUGCUAUCGAUUAACACAUCUUUUCAUGUUAAUCGAUUAAUCAGCUAUCAAGUUAAUCUAUGAUAACGUCUGCUAUCAAAUUUGAGUUGUGGUUAAUCUGCUAUCGAUAAAUAGAAGUUAAAGUUAUGUUCUAUCAUCCAUGAUACUGGUGUUUUAGACUAAACACGCUAUGGAAAUUGGAAUGUAUAUCACAUCAAACAUGAGAAAACUUACUGUCCUACCAAGGGUCAACUUCACAAUAUAUCCUGGAAAACAUGAUGGAUAGAAACAGUGAGAUAAAAAGCAUACUUUGAUCAAUUGGAUAACAAUUCUGUGUGUGAAGUGUUUUCAAGCUGAGUCCAAGAUCAAUAAAACCAUCGUCCUUCGCCUGAUUGUUUUUAGUACUUGGUCAUUUUGUUCUGCUUCUGCAUAAGGGUACAUAUGGUUGCAUCUCAUCUAAGAACAAUUCUAUUUUGUUAUCAGGUGUUGCCCAACUAGUUGAUGAUUUUUCUGCUGUAAAAUAUGCACUUAUAGUUCCUUAGAGGAUUUUAAAUGAAAGUUGAAACUAGAAGCAUGCUAAUUUGGAAAUGAAUUAACUUCUAUAAGUGGAAGCCCUCAGAAUUCAGUUCCGUUAAAUUUUAUAAGUUCUGGUGUGCCUCUUUUGGGGUUGCAUAACUUAUAUUGGUCCUUGAAAGUUGAAACUCAUAAGCAAGCGAGAAGUAUUCGAGAUUGCCUGACUGAAAUAGACUAUUAGAAAUCUUUUCUCCUUUUUGGAAUUGAUCCACAAGAAAAAUGAGAUUAUUUUGAAGACAUGGAAUUUCCUUAAUCUCUUAUUCCCACUUGAUUUAUAGUGUUUCUAAUCUUACACUUUGUCGUCGUGUCUAAUUGAUGACCCCUAAUUACUAGUCUACUUCGCUUUAUAAAGGAAGAUCAGCUAUUUCAGAACAGGAUCCAACUUAUGUGGUUUAAUAUAGUAAUGGUGUCUCUUUAUGAUGUCUAGCAACAAAACGAAACAGGAACAAUUCUUAUAUGAGAUAGAUAUACUAAGGUGAAAACUUAAUUGUAGUAAUAUAAAUCACAGAAUAAAAUAGAACUGUUUUUGGUUUUUGAAUUUCUCUCUCUUCACAUUUUCUGUGUAUAUAUGUUAACAAUCUGUUUGUUUUUAUGUGGCCCGUGUUCUUCUGCACUUUUUCUUACUCUCCAUGAGCUGUCUCCAUUUCUGAGUUCAAUACACAGAUGGCAGUGAGGCAGUUUGUUACUUGUAUUAUAAGUGGAGGCCGAUAAACAAGCGACAAAAUCAUAUACCACUCCAUCCCCGCAAACGCCAUCAUCACAAGCAUCAAACACUCGAAACUACAUUAUCACUAAUAGGAUCUUGCCAAGUUGACAAAUAGUUAUUUACGAAAAUUCAAGACUCAAGCAAUGAAAAUGAAAUCAAGUGGUGAUAGCAUAUCUGUUACAAUACCAACAACUGUGUACGGUCAUGAGUAGACAACUAUCAUUGAUUAUGAAGACAUGCUUGAUUGGUGCUUCCAAAGAGCGAUUGGAGUGACUCACUUGUCAAUUUUCAUGAAAUACUUGAGCGAAAAAUGUCAAGAAGAUAGUGUAUCUGAGAUGUAUGGAAUCCGACAAUCAAGUGGAAAAAACCUGAGCUAUACUAUGUCAUUCUUUUUUUAUGGUAACUUGUGUUUAUACUAUGUCAAUCAAGUGGAAAAUAUCAAUGUACUAAUUGUUUACUGCUUUUGGUAUUCUCCUUCACUAAAAAAUCUAGGAACUAGUGUCCUAGUCAACACCAAGAAUCUCAUGACUGUGGAUAUUAUGUGUGCCGAUAUAUGCUCGAGACUGUAGAGAAAAGGCGACAAGCAAUUCCUGAUAAGUACUUUGGGGGAGUUACAACUGAAUUUUCUCAAAAUAAGAUUGAUGAGCUCAGAGACUUGUAGAUCAAAUAUGUGGAUGAGUAUAAACAAGUGGAUGAAGAAGAAUUGGAAGAUAAUGACCAUUUUAAUUAGGAUGUGUGUAUUUUCUUUUUGAGCGGGAUUAGGGAGCUGCUUCUAUUUUUGUGUACAUGAAUUGGAAGAAACGACAGGCCUAGGUGUUCUAUUAUUUUUUUUAUAACUUAGUUGAAUUUUUGGAAUCUUUUAAACAUUAUAUGUGAUUUUAAUUGUAGUGAAUGAUAUUAAAUGAAUGAAAAAGUAUUUCAAUUUUAAA